UUAGUGGCGGACGGGUGAGUAACGCGUGGAUAACCUGCCGUAUACAGGGGGAUAACACUUAGAAAUAGGUGCUAAUACCGCAUAAGCGCACGGUUCCGCAUGGAACAGUGUGAAAAACUCCGGUGGUAUACGAUGGAUCCGCGUCUGAUUAGCCAGUUGGCGGGGUAACGGCCCACCAAAGCGACGAUCAGUAGCCGGCCUGAGAGGGUGAACGGCCACAUUGGGACUGAGACACGGUCCAGACUCCUACGGGAGGCAGCAG
rnacentral:rRNA from 1 species